ACCGUGAGGGAAAGGUGAAAAGAACCCCGGGAGGGGAGUGAAAUAGAACCUGAAACCCUACACUUACAAGCUGUGGGAGCGCAUUAUUCGCGUGACCGCGUACUUUUUGUAGAACGGGCCAACGAGUUACGUUAUGUGGCAAGGUUAAGCACUUAAGGUGUGGAGCCGAAGCGAAAGCGAGUCUUAACUGGGCGCCAUAGUCACAUGACGUAGACCCGAAACCGGGCGACCUACCCAUGAGCAGGAUGAAGCGAAAGUAAAAUUUCGUGGAGGUCCGAACCCACGUACGUUGAAAAGUGCGGGGAUGACUUGUGGGUAGCGGUGAAAUUCCAAUCGAGCUCGGAGAUAGCUGGUUCUCCCCGAAAUAGCUUUAGGGCUAGCCUUGAAAUUUAGAGAUGUGGAGGUAGAGCACUGAAUGUCCUAGGGGGUAUUGCACUUACCGAAGACUAUCAAACUCCGAAUGCCAUUAUCUUUUGUUCAGGAGUCAGACUAUGGGUGAUAAGGUUCAUAGUCGAAAGGGAAAGAGCCCAGACCGUCAGCUAAGGUCCCUAAAUGUAUGUUAAGUGGUAAAGGAUGUGGGAUUGCACAGACAACCAGGAUGUUGGCUUAGAAGCAGCCACUCAUUUAAAGAGUGCGUAAUAGCUCACUGGUCGAGUGAUCCUGCGCCGAAGAUUUCCGGGGCUAAAACAUACUACCGAAGCUACGGCAUCAUAUGAUGAUGGGUAGGGGAGCUUCCCAUGCAGGCUGAAGCGAUACCGUAAGGAGUCGUGGACAGUAUGGGAGAGAGAAUGUUGGCAUGAGUAGCGAGAUGAGGGUGAGAAUCCCUCAGGCCGUAAACCCAAGGUUUCCAGGGGAAGGUUCGUCCUCCCUGGGUUAGUCGGGACCUAAGCUCAGGCCGAAAGGCGUAGGCGAUGGACAACAGGUUGAGAUUCCUGUACUACCGAUAAUCGUUUGAGAGAAGGGAUGACACAGUAGGAUAAGCUGAGCACACUGUUGGUUAAGUGUGUCUAAGCGUUGAGGCAGACUAGAUAGGCAAAUCCGUUUAGUUAAUGCUGGGGCGCGAUGGGGAGCGAAACUAAGUAGCGAAGCAGCUGAUUUCACACUGUCGAGAAAAGUCUCUAUCGAGAUUAAAGGUACCCGUACCGCAAACCGACACAGGUGGGUGAGGAGAGUAUCCUAAGGCCAGCGAGAGAACUGUUGUUAAGGAACUCGGCAAAAUGACCCCGUAACUUAGGGAUAAGGGGUGCCUUAGAGAUAAGGCUUCAAGAAAAAGGCCCAAGCGACUGUUUACCAAAAACAUAGGUCUCUGCGAAACCGCAAGGUGAAGUAUAGGGGCUGACGCCUGCCCGGUGCUGGAAGGUUAAGAGGAGAUGUCAGGCAACGAAGCAUUGAAUUUAAGCCCCAGUAAACGGCGGCCGUAACUAUAACGGUCCUAAGGUAGCGAAAUUCCUUGUCGGGUAAGUUCCGACCCGCACGAAAGGCGUAACGAUUUGGGCACUGUCUCAACAACAGACUCGGUGAAAUUGUA
rnacentral:rRNA from 1 species